rnacentral:rRNA from 1 species
UACGUAGGGGGCAAGCGUUGUCCGGAAUCAUUGGGCGUAAAGCGCGCGUAGGCGGCCCGGUAAGUCCGCUGUAAAAGUCCAGGGCUCAACCCUGGAAAGCCGGUGGAUACUGUCGGGCUCGAGUCCGGAAGAGGCGAGUGGAAUUCCUGGUGUAGCGGUGAAAUGCGCAGAUAUCAGGAGGAACACCAAUGGCGAAGGCAGCUCGCUGGGACGUGACUGACGCUGAGACGCGAAAGCGUGGGGAGCGAACAGG